rnacentral:misc_RNA from 1 species
CCUCCCACCCGUGACUACCUAACACUGUUGCUUCGGCGGGGAGCCCUCUCGGGGGCGAGCCGCCGGGGACUACUGAACUUCAUGCCUGAGAGUGAUGCAGUCUGAGUCUGAAUAUAAAAUCAGUCAAAACUUUCAACAAUGGAUCUCUUGGUUCCGGCAUCGAUGAAGAACGCAGCGAACUGCGAUAAGUAAUGUGAAUUGCAGAAUUCAGUGAAUCAUCGAGUCUUUGAACGCACAUUGCGCCCCCUGGCAUUCCGGGGGGCAUGCCUGUCCGAGCGUCAUUGCUGCCCAUCAAGCCCGGCUUGUGUGUUGGGUCGUCGUCCCCCCCGGGGGACGGGCCCGAAAGGCAGCGGCGGCACCGUGUCCGGUCCUCGAGCGUAUGGGGCUUUGUCACCCGCUCGAUUUAGGGCCGGCCGGGCGCCAGCCGACGUCCAACCAUUUUCUGAUAAAAUCAGUCUUCAGGUGACCUCGAUCA